AUUGAACGCUGGCGGCAGGCCUAACACAUGCAAGUCGAGCGGUUGAAGGGAGCUUGCUCCUGGCUUCAGCGGCGGACGGGUGAGUAAUGCCUAGGAAUCUGCCUUGUCGUGGGGGAUAACGUCCGGAAACGGGCGCUAAUACCGCAUACGUCCUGAGGGAGAAAGUGGGGGAUCUUCGGACCUCACGCUCUCAGAUGAGCCUAGGUCGGAUUAGCUAGUUGGUGGGGUAAAGGCCUACCAAGGCGACGAUCCGUAACUGGUCUGAGAGGAUGAUCAGUCACACUGGAACUGAGACACGGUCCAGACUCCUACGGGAGGCAGCAGUGGGGAAUAUUGGACAAUGGGCGAAAGCCUGAUCCAGCCAGGCCGCGUGUGUGAAGAAGGUCUUCGGAUUGUAAAGAACUUUAAGUUGGGAGGAAGGGCAGUAAGUUAAGACCUUGCUGUUUUGACGUUACCAACAGAAUAAGCACCGGCUAACUUCGUG
rnacentral:rRNA from 1 species